GUGGUUCAGGAAACAUGGCUGGUUGGCUGAUUCAUUGAGCACAACACCCUCACUCACCAUUAUCAACACCUUAUUCUGCUUCUUCGUGAUUCUCGGCAGAGAUUACCAAAGCUUCCAUGUCCAUUUUAUUCCUCAGUAUAUGAAUUGGUUGUAUGCGCUGAUCCUAUCCGUCUCGGACUGUUCGCGGCCGCGUGCCUAUAUAUAAACUGCGUCGGCUUCUUACCGGCCGCACGAAGAAUCGAUGGCGAUGGAGAUUAUGCAACAGCUCGCCGCCGCCGCCACGGCAACGGCCCUGUGCCCUGAACCAUCUCUGAUGGCGAUGACGACGGCCGGCGCAGGUGGAGGCCGCCAUCGCGACGCUGCAUGGCAAGAAGCAACGCCUCCGCGAGGCCUGCGACAGCCUCGUCCUCCACUCGCCCAUCCUCCUCCCCUUCCGCUGGUCCGACCUCGACUCCCACCUCUCCUCCCUCCAGUCCUCCAUCCACGCCCGCUUCAGCUAGCUGCAGGCCCUCCAGGCUUCCCGCCCCGCGGCCCCCGCCGCCGCCGGGAGCCAUGGCGAGGACGUCCAGGAACAGGGAGAGGACGAAGUGAUGGCAGCGGCGGCGGCGAAGAUGGUGCCUCCGUUUACGGUGCUGCAGGUCAAGGAGAGGAGCCCGCGGAGGCGCCGGCAUGCGCGAGCAUGGACGCCACAAGGCUGUCGUCGAAUGCCGCCGGCAAGCGUGCCGGCGUCGGGCAAGAUGGGUUCGUUCGACCCGGUGGGAUGGCGGUGCCGGCGGCGGCGGCGAAGAUGGCGCCUCCGUCAAAGGUGCAAGUCAAGGAGGAACCAGUCGAUUCUGAUAUGCGGACAGGGUGGGCUAGAUAUGGUCAGCUUUUUCUUAGGACAAAAUUACCCCUCGUUAAAGGGGAUUACUCUGUUAAUCAACUUUUAAUCCUCACCGUUGAUGUGCUUUAAUUUUCGUGCAUGUUUUUUUUAAAGAA